rnacentral:rRNA from 1 species
UACAGAGGGUGCGAGCGUUGUUCGGAAUUAUUGGGCGUAAAGGGCGCGUAGGCGGUGCGGUAAGUCCGCUGUGAAAGUCCAGGGCUCAACCCUGGAAUGCCGGUGGAUACUGUCGGGCUCGAAUCCGGAAGAGGUGAGUGGAAUUCCUGGUGUAGCGGUGAAAUGCGUAGAUAUCGGGAGGAACACCUGUGGCGAAAGCGGCUCACUGGACCACAACUGACGCUGAUGCGCGAAAGCUAGGGGAGCAAACAGGG